GAGUUUGAUCUUGGCUCAGAUUGAACGCUGGCGGCAGGCCUAACACAUGCAAGUCGAGCGGAUGACGGGAGCUUGCUCCUUGGUUCAGCGGCGGACGGGUGAGUAAUGCCUAGGAAUCUGCCUGGUAGUGGGGGACAACGUUUCGAAAGGAACGCUAAUACCGCAUACGUCCUACGGGAGAAAGCAGGGGACCUUCGGGCCUUGCGCUAUCAGAUGAGCCUAGGUCGGAUUAGCUAGUUGGUGGGGUAAUGGCUCACCAAGGCGACGAUCCGUAACUGGUCUGAGAGGAUGAUCAGUCACACUGGAACUGAGACACGGUCCAGACUCCUACGGGAGGCAGCAGUGGGGAAUAUUGGACAAUGGGCGAAAGCCUGAUCCAGCCAUGCCGCGUGUGUGAAGAAGGUCUUCGGAUUGUAAAGCACUUUAAGUUGGGAGGAAGGGCAGUAAGUUAAUACCUUGCUGUUUUGACGUUACCGACAGAAUAAGCACCGGCUAACUCUGUGCCAGCCGCCGCCGU
rnacentral:rRNA from 1 species